rnacentral:rRNA from 1 species
AGAGUUUGAUCAUGGCUCAGAACGAACGCUGGCGGCAUGCCUAACACAUGCAAGUCGAACGUGAUCCGGGCUUCGGCCUGGUGAAAGUGGCAGACGGGUGAGUAACGCGUGGGAACCUGCCCUGUGGUAGGGAAUAACCGUGGGAAACUGCGGCUAAUACCCUAUGAGUCCUUCGGGAGAAAGAUUUAUCGCCAUAGGAGGGGCCCGCGUCGGAUUAGGUAGUUGGUGGGGUAACGGCCUACCAAGCCUUCGAUCCGUAGCUGGUCUGAGAGGAUGAUCAGCCACACUGGGACUGAGAUACGGCCCAGACUCCUACGGGAGGCAGCAGUGGGGAAUAUUGGACAAUGGGGGCAACCCUGAUCCAGCAAUGCCGCGUGGAUGAUGAAGGCCUUCGGGUUGUAAAGUCCUUUCGGCGGGGAAGAUGAUGACGGUACCCGCAGAAGAAGCCCCGGCUAACUUCGUGCCAGCAGCCGCGGUAAUACGAAGGGGGCUAGCGUUGUUCGGAAUUACUGGGCGUAAAGGGCGCGUAGGCUGUGCUGUAAGUCAGGCGUGAAAGCCCCGGGCUCAACCUGGGAAUUGCGCUUGAUACUGCGGCGCUGGAAGGUGGGAGAGGAUGGCGGAAUUCCCAGUGUAGAGGUGAAAUUCGUAGAUAUUGGGAAGAACACCGGUGGCGAAGGCGGCCAUCUGGCCCAUUUUUGACGCUGAGGCGCGAAAGCGUGGGGAGCAAACAGGAUUAGAUACCCUAGUAGUCC